rnacentral:rRNA from 1 species
GUCGUCAGCUCGUGUCGUGAGAUGUUGGGUUAAGUCCCGCAACGAGCGCAACCCUUAAGCUUAGUUGCCAGCAUUAAGUUGGGCACUCUAAGUUGACUGCCGGUGACAAACCGGAGGAAGGUGGGGAUGACGUCAAAUCAUCAUGCCCCUUAUGAUUUGGGCUACACACGUGCUACAAUGGACAAUACAAAGGGCAGCUAAACCGCGAGGUCAUGCAAAUCCCAUAAAGUUGUUCUCAGUUCGGAUUGUAGUCUGCAACUCGACUACAUGAAGCUGGAAUCGCUAGUAAUCGUAGAUCAGCAUGCUACGGUGAAUACGUUCCCGGGUCUUGUACACACCGCCCGUCACACCACGAGAGUUUGUAACACCCGAAGCCGGUGGAGUAACCAUUUAUGGAGCUAGCCGUCGAAGGUGGGACAAAUGAUUGGGGUGAAGUCGUAACAAGGUAGCCGUAUCGGAAGGUGCGGUUGGAUCACCUCCA